rnacentral:lncRNA from 1 species
CGCCGCCGCCGCUGGUUUUGGUGCCGUUUGCCCCGGGGCGGCGGCAGCUCGGCUGUGGGGUCGGUGCUGCUGCGAGCCGCCGCGUCCCUCCCUUCCUGCCGGAGCUAAACGGGAAACGUGGGCGUUUUUUGCAUCUGUGAUCCGAAGGGCUUCGCCAAGCUCAUCUUCAUGUGGGCUCUGAAGAGAGGAGGCUGUGGAAGGGAGGGAGGGAGGACGGACAUAGCAGAGCCUGGAAAAACCGCGAAGUGGGAGUUUCGGCUUGGGAACGGAGCCCCGGACGGAAUGUGAGGAGGGGCGGUGUUAGCUGGAGCGUGUCCAUCUGAGAAGGCAGCUGUUCGUGCGUGUUAAAGUGUGAAACCCGGGGAGGAAGAAGCACAAAUCCAAAACAUAGCUCCUCACUGAGCCCCUGUGAAGAAAAUUUACUCUGGCCCAACCAAAACCAGCAAGACUGCCAGUCCUGAGUGUCCUUGAGGAGCCCAUGAUAUGUGGACAAAUGGAUUUCAGCUUUCAGAAGUGUGCCUCAAUGGGAGUUGACAAGGAUACCAUGAAAAUUGGAGGAUGUCUGGCUGGAGUGGAGCAAAUGCAAAUAGAUGGUUCAGUAAGUAUUUUUGGUUCAUUGUGGCAGUGAGACAUUUGCACUGUUUAUGAAAUUUCUAGUA